AUAUGUCAGCGCAAGGGCAUUUUGGGCAAUACAUAAGUAUAGUGAUCUGCACAUGGGCCCAACGGCAUCAAAGACGUAGAAAAUGGCAUGGUUGUAGUUUGAACGAAUUAUAAUGGCAUAUCUCCAAAUAGGUGUUAAAAAAAAAACCAAUACCUGUGUUGAGGACCGCCACUUCCGCACCUCGCCGCGGCGUCCGAGAGAAGAGGGGAAGAACAAAAAAAUGCUCGCCAGAACCCUCGCAGGCCGCGUCGGCCCCCGCCUGGCGCCGCCCCUCGCGGGCCUCCUCCGCCAUGGCUACGCGCCCCCCACCUCCUCGUCCGCCGCGGCCGCUGACGACCUCGUAAUCGACGAGGACCCGCCGCGCGCCGCCUCGCCGUCCGCCGCCACCGCCACCGCCACCGGUACCAUGGCGGCCACCAUGCCGACCGUUCUGCAGCCGCGCGUGCUCAUCUACGACGGCGUCUGCCACCUCUGCCACCGGGGGGUGAAGUGGGUGAUCCGGGCGGACAAGCACGCCAAGAUCAAGUUCUGCUGCGUGCAGUCCAAGGCCGCAGAGCCGUACCUGAGGCUGGUCGGCAUGGACCGGGAGGACGUCCUGCGGCGUGUGCUCUUCAUCGAGGGGCCUGAGGCUUACUAUGAGGGCUCUACGGCUGCUCUGAAAGUUGCAUCAUACCUGCCUCUUCCCUACUCAGUCCUGAGCUCCUUGCUGAUCGUCCCCACCCCACUGCGGGAUGCAGUCUACGAUUACAUCGCAAAGAACCGCUAUGACUGGUUUGGCAAAGAUGAUGAGUGCAUCGCCACUAAGGACAAGGACAUUCUUGAUCGCUUCAUCGACAGGGAGGAAAUUCUUGGUGGUGGUCCCAAUAAUAGCUUCUUUUGAUCACAUCUUCGUCUGUGCCGUUGCUCACACUUACUGUAGGGAAGAGAUGUAAAUAAUCUUCACGUCCAUCUAGGUACUCCUGGAACUUCAGCUCCACUCUGUUUAGUCAUUAACGUUGAUGCACCAUGAACACCUGCAAGGUUUGUCAGGUCAGGUGUAUAAUUCCAGUUUGGUUGCAAAGCUUCAGCUAGUUGACGUCGAAAGAGACUGCGACGCACCUGAAUCUCCAUUGCCAGCUGCCUUCUUCGGCUUAAAUUCCCCUUCAUAGUUGAUUGCAAACUUGUGCUCAGGCAGCCUCUUCCCGGACUUGAGGCACUCCUCCAACCAUUCAAAGGACACAACACUCUGCAAUCAAAUGUCCAAUUCAUAAAAUGGCAACUUAGCGUGA